rnacentral:tRNA from 1 species
GCCCCCGUAGCCCAACUGGUAGAGGCUGCGACUUCAAAACUCGUUCAUGUGUCGGUUCGAGUCCGACUGGGGGCA